rnacentral:rRNA from 1 species
CAGCAGCCACGGUAAUACGAAGGGUGCAAGCGUUAAUCGGAAUUACUGGGCGUAAAGCGUGCGUAGGCGGUUUCUUAAGUCUGAUGUGAAAGCCCCCGGCUCAACCGGGGAGGGUCAUUGGAAACUGGGAAACUUGAGUGCAGAAGAGGAGAGUGGAAUUCCACGUGUAGCGGUGAAAUGCGUAGAGAUCGGGAGGAACAUCAGUGGCGAAGGCGGCCAUCUGGGACAACACUGACGUUGAGGCACGAAAGCGUGGGGAGCAAACAGGAUUAGAUACCCCCGUAGUCCCUGUCUCUUAUAC